rnacentral:miRNA from 1 species
GAUGGCAGAGCCCUCAGACUGAGGC